CAGUGUGUUAUCUCAUAUGCACCUAUAACUGUGGAAUCAACACGCGUUACCAAGGUUCAGGCUUUUCAAGUCAACGAGUGGGUCCUUAUGGUGGGAAGAAAGAUUGGAUUCCUUUUAACAAAAUAUUUCUUUUAAGUAUUGAAUUUCUUUUUUCGAGUGGGUGGGAGGGGCAAGGAAUAAUUGAGUGGAAGUUCCUUAAGUGUUGAUUUUCCAUUCUGCAUAUGGCGAAAAGUUCAUUUAUUAGCCCCUACUGUGAUACGCAGAGGCAAAUGGCAGUUCUUUUGAAAAGAGUGUCAAAGAAUGGAAUUGGGAACAGUUCAAACCGUGAGUGACCCACAUCCGUUUCUCUCAAUUGCCCUAAAUCCAGGCAUCAAGUUGUGUCGUGGGCCUAGAUCAGCAGUUCUCCUGAAGUAUAAUGCCGAGGGAAGCUUCAGUCUCACCUGGGAACGUGUUCAAAAUUCAAAUGCCAGGGCUCUGCACCCGAUCCACUGAGUCCAAAAGUCUGGGCUGAGGCCUGGAAGUCUGUGUUUUGGCACAUCCUGCAGGUGAUUCUAAUGCAGGCUAAAGCAUGAGCACGCUGGCCUGGACUCUGAGGGAACAUUAUGACUUAAAGGAACUCAUCUUCAAGGCACAGAGACCUCAGUGCUGGGCUAUGGCCGUGCUUCUUUUCCAUGGUAGGAUCACUGGGGUGUUUAUUUAAGAACAGCAAUACCAGCUCUCUCCCUCAGGCCCAUAAAAUUGGAAUCCUGAGGGGUGGGGCCCAGGCAAAGCAUUUCACUAAAACUUCCUGGGUGAUUCUGACAGGAAAGCAGGGGCCAGGUAAGGGAGGGAUGCUAACGUGGCUGAAAUGCUGAUACCUGGGGAGAGGGGGCCACAGUCUGUCAAGCAGGAUCCAGGCAGGCCUUGCAAACUUGACAUUCCGGGCAACAGAGAUGUCCAGAGCUACGGGUGGCAUCACUGUGAUGGGUGGCGGCAGCGGGGGUGGGGGGUGUUUCAUUCUGAGCCGAUUGGUAGUAACCUGUCAGACCCUGCCUUGCAGGCCCCUCCCAGGUACAAGUGUGACAACUGCUAACUCCCCAUCCCUAAAUUGGCACAGGUCAAAACCAGCCAAGUUCCCAGAGGCCAGCUGGUCCUAGCAGGAAGC